CCUACGGGGGGCAGCAGUGAGGAAUAUUGGUCAAUGGGCGCAAGCCUGAACCAGCCAAGUAGCGUGCAGGAAGACGGCCCUAUGGGUUGUAAACUGCUUUUAUACGAGAAUAAUUUGAUGCACGUGUGCGUUAUUGCAUGUAUCGUAUGAAUAAGGACCGGCUAAUUCCGUGCCAGCAGCCGCGGUAAUACGGAAGGUCCAGGCGUUAUCCGGAUUUAUUGGGUUUAAAGGGAGUGUAGGCGGUUUGUUAAGCGUGUUGUGAAAUUUAGGUGCUCAACAUUUAACUUGCAGCGCGAACUGUCAGACUUGAGUACACGCAACGUAUGCGGAAUUCAUGGUGUAGCGGUGAAAUGCUUAGAUAUCAUGAAGAACUCCGAUUGCGAAGGCAGCAUACGGGAGUGUAACUGACGCUUAAGCUCGAAGGUGCGGGUAUCGAACAGGAUUAGAUACCCUGGUAGUC
rnacentral:rRNA from 1 species